CGUUCCAAGCUGGAACACUCCAAUAAUUUCGUUCCGGGUUUCGUUCCUAGCCGAAACGUUCCAGACAUUUCGUUCCGAGUUUCGUUCCAAGCGGGAACGUUCCAGACAUUUCGUUCCGAGUUUGGUUCCGAGCAUUUCGUUCCACGACUUUCAUUCCAAGUUUCACUUCUAACUCGGAACGAUACAAUUUCGUUUCGUUCCGAGCCCCUGGAACGAAAUUCAAACCGGAAUGCGUUCCAAGUCCCUGCUUUUUAAAAGAACUAAUCAGAGAGUUUGUCGGGUUGUUUUGAAUGAGAACGCUUGUAAAGGUUAUGUGCUUUCAAAAAUGGGUGAUCACGAUCAAUAUUUUAAUAACAAUCGCCUAGAUGAUAAUGAGACGGAGUUUGAAAAUGAUGGAAACUUUAAAGAAAAUGACGAACUUCUGAUUGAUGCAGUGAGAGCAUAUCCACACUUAUAUAGUCAUCAAGACAGGAACUUCCAAGAUGCAAUGAUGAAAGAAAAUUCUUGGAAAGAGAUAUCCAUUGCAGUAAAUAUUCCAGAUACUGAAUGUAAAACUCGAUGGAUAAGACUCCAGGAAAGAUUUGGAAAGGAAAAACGACAGAGGGAAUCAGAUGCUAGGAGUGGCAGUGGAGCGAGUAGACGGAGUGUUUUCGUUUACUAGGAGAAUUUGCUCUUCCUUGAUGAUUAUAUUAAGAGGAGAAAAGUGCUCACUAAUGUAGCCAAUAAACGUCACAAAACAGCCGCAAUUGAUGAAAGAAAUGGUUUUCUCGCUGUGCCACCAAUAUCGUUAAUUUUUCAGCAAGACCUGGCGGCUGAGAACGGUUCACGAGGUUCUGAAAUGGUUGAAAAUGUUGAAUUUCAAAAUAAUUCAUUAGUACCCAGCUCUGAUACCCAAGUUUCCACCUCAGUGCCUACACCAAUCCAAUCGUGUACCAACUUUCUUGCACCAUUUCGGCAGAGAAUCCAGCAAACAAAUCAAAAGAGAUAAUCAUCAAACCCAGUAUUGGAGCAACAAGGCACUUCGCAAGUUGGUGGUUCAUCUAGUGGUCAGCGAGAUUUUCGAGAAAUUCUUGAUGAUACUGAGGAUUCCAGAUGCUCAAUGAGUUCUAGGCGCGAGAGUACACCUUCUCCAGCUCCAUCAUUGUGCCAGUCAACACCACAAAGACCAAAUUCUAGGAAGAAGAAAAGCGACACAACGGUCUUGGAAACCACUCUGAUUUCCUUAUGUCAGACGCUGCAUCAAAGUCUCCUCUCACUCUCAAUGAUAAUGCAAACCCUCAAGCCGCUGGAAACACAGGCGGAACGUUUACAAAAUUGAUAGCAGAUGAAUUAAAUAAACUUCCACCUGAAGAACAAAAGAAGAGACGGCUCGCUAUGAUGCAAAUUUUAUAUGCACCAUAUCUUUGAUUCACACAUCCAACCAAAGUCUUUAACCAAAAGUUCCUAGUAAUUAAUUUUAAUCAUCAACUAUGAAAAGAUAAUUAUCAACUCAUUUUUACCAUUUACAUAUUCUCUUUGGCAUGG